rnacentral:rRNA from 1 species
AGUCUGCAACCCGACUACACGAAGCUGGAAUCGCUAGUAAUCGCGGAUCAGAAUGCCGCGGUGAAUACGUUCCCGGGUCUUGUACACACCGCCCGUCACACCAUGGGAGUCAGUAACGCCCGAAGUCAGUGACCUAACCGAAAGGGAGGAGCUGCCGAAGGCGGGACGGAUGACUGGGGUGAAGUCGUAACAAGGUAUC